rnacentral:rRNA from 1 species
AACGAACGCUGGCGGCACGUUUUAAGCAUGCAAGUCGAAUGGCAGUGGGGGCAACCCCAUGAGAAUGGCGAACGGGUGAGUAACACGUAGGUGAUCUGCCUGACGGAUGGGGAUAGCUUGUGGAAGCACAGGGUAAUACCGAAUGAGCUGACGAGACUUUGGUUUUGUUAGUAAAGGUGCUACGGCACCGCCGACAGAGGGGCCUGCGGCUGAUUAGCUAGUUGGUGGGGUAAAGGCCUACCAAGGCGACGAUCAGUAGCCGGCCUGAGAGGGUGUACGGCCAAACUGGAACUGAGACACGGUCCAGACUCCUACGGGAGGCAGCAGCUAAGAAUCUUCCGAAAUGGGCGAAAGCCUGACGGAGCGAUGCCGCGUGAUCGAUGAAGGUCGAGAGAUUGUAAAGAUCUUUUCUACAUGAGGAAUAAGUCUGGGAGGGAAUGCCUGGAUGAUGACGUUAGUGUAGGAAUAAGCCCCGGCUAAUUACGUGCCAGCAGCCGCCGUAA